CCUACGGGUCGCAGCAGUGGGGAAUAUUGGGCAAUGGAGGAAACUCUGACCCAGCGACGCCGCGUGCGGGAUGAAGGCCUUCGGGUUGUAAACCGCUUUCAGUAGGGAAGAAGCGAAAGUGACGGUACCUACAAAAGAAGCACCGGCUAACUAUGUGCCAGCAGCCGCGGUAAUACAUAGGGUGCAAGCGUUGUCCGGAAUUAUUGGGCGUAAAGAGCUCGUAGGUCGUUUGUUACGUCGGAUGUGAAAACCUGAGGCUCAACCUCAGGCCUGCAUUCGAUACGGGCAAACUAGAGUUUGGUAGGGGAGACUGGAAUUCCUGGUGUAGCGGUGGAAUGCGCAGAUAUCAGGAGGAACACCAAUGGCGAAGGCAGGUCUCUGGGCCAAUACUGACACUGAGGAGCGAAAGUCUGGGGAGCGAACAGGAUUAGAUACCCCUGUAGUC
rnacentral:rRNA from 1 species